CUUCGCCACUGGUGGUCUUCCCGGGAUUAUAGGAUUUCACCCCUACCCCGAGAAUACCGUCGGCCUCUCUCGUCCCCUAGCCGAGCAGUAUCCCCCGCAAUCCAACGAUUAAUUCGUUGGGUUUAACAGGGGACUAACUUGGCCAGCUACGGAUGCUUUAGGCCCAAUAAACAUCCACACCA
rnacentral:rRNA from 1 species